rnacentral:rRNA from 1 species
GACGAACGCUGGCGGCGUGCUUAACACAUGCAAGUCGAACGGAAAGGCCCUGCUUUUGUGGGGUUCUCGAGUGGCAAACGGGUGAGGAACGCGUGAGUAACCUGCCCUAGACUUUGGGAUAACUUCAGGAAACUGGGGCUAAUAUCGUAUAGGAUCUGCUGCUGCAUGGUGGGGGUUGGAAAGUUUCGGCGGUUGGGGCUGGACGAGCGGCUUACCAGCUAGCUGGUUGGGUAGUGGCAUACCAACGAUUUGGCGGGUCGGCGGCAUGUGAGGGUGACCGGCCACAUUGGGACUAAGAUACGGACCAGACUCCUACGGGAGGCAGCGGUGGGGAAUAUUACACAGUGGGCGCGAGCCUGAUGCGGCAGCGCCGCGUGCGGGAUGACGGCCUUCUGGUUGUGAACAGCUUUCGCCUGUUACGAAGCUUGAGUGACGGUACUGAGUAAAGAAGCACCGGCUAACUACGUG